rnacentral:rRNA from 1 species
GACGAACGCUGGCGGCGUGCUUAACACAUGCAAGUCGAACGGAAAGGCCCUGCUUGCAGGGUGCUCGAGUGGCGAACGGGUGAGUAACACGUGGGUGAUCUGCCCCUUACUUUGGGAUAAGCCUGGGAAACGGGGACUAAUACUGGAAAGGACCAUGCUGUAGGCGGUGUGGUGGAAAGAUAAGUUUCGGUAAGGGAUGAGCUCGCGGCCUAUCAGCUGGUUGGUGGGGUAAUGGCCUACCAAGGCGUCGACGGGUAGCCGGCCUGAGGGGGUGGACGGCCACAUUGGGACUGUGAUACGGCCCAGACUCCUGCGGGAGGCGGCAGUGGGGAAUAUUGCACAAUGGGCGCAAGCCUGAUGCAGCGACGCCGCGUGGGGGUUGACGGCCUUCGGGUUGUAAACUCCUUUCAGCCAUGACGAAGCCCUUGUGGUGACGGUAGUGGUAGAAGAAGCACCGGCUAACUACGUG